rnacentral:rRNA from 1 species
CCUACGGGUGGCUGCAGUGGGGAAUAUUGCACAAUGGGGGAAACCCUGAUGCAGCGACGCCGCGUGAGUGAAGAAGUAAUUCGUUAUGUAAAGCUCUAUCAGCAGGGAAGAAAAUGACGGUACCUGAGUAAGAAGCCCCGGCUAACUACGUGCCAGCAGCCGCGGUAAUACGUAGGGGGCAAGCGUUAUCCGGAUUUACUGGGUGUAAAGGGAGCGUAGACGGCAGUGCAAGUCUGGAGUGAAAGGCGAGGGCUCAACCCCCGAACUGCUCUGGAAACUGUACGGCUGGAGUGCAGGAGAGGUAAGCGGAAUUCGUGGUGUAGCGGUGAAAUGCUUAGAUAUCACGAAGAACUCCGAUGGCGAAGGCAGCUCACUGGACUGCAACUGACAUUGAGGCUCGAAAGUGUGGGUAGCAAACAGGAUUAGAUACCCCAGUAGUC